GAGCAUUUCGGCACCCAAACACACUAUUUCCGGGUAGCGAAACUCGGGUGGAUUUUUUCGCAACGAACGCAUGCAAUCUUCCUAAUUAUACCCUGGAACAUGUUUGGGAGUGUUUUUGAGCAUUCGGUUCCGGAACGAAAAAUGAUGCAAAACGGGUGCAUUUCGGCACCCGAAUGCACUUUCUCCGUGUAGCGAAAAUCGGGUGGAUUUUUUCGCAACGAACGCAUGCAAUCUUCCUAAUUAUACCCUAGAACAUGUUUGGGAGUGUUUUUGAGCAUUCGGUUCUGGAACGAAAAAUGAUGGAAAACGGGUGCAUUUCGGCACCCGAAUGCACUUUUUCCGUGUAGCGAAAAUCGGGUGGAUUUUUUUGCAACGAACGCAUGCAAUCUUCCUAAUUAUACCCUAGAGCAUGUUUGGGAGUGUUUUUGAGCAUUCGGUUCCGGAACGAAAAAUGAUGCAAAACGGGUGCAUUUCGGCACCCGAAUGCAUAUUGCCGGGUAGCGAAACUCGUGUGGAUUUUUUCGCAACGAACGCAUGCAAUCUUCCUAAUUAUACCCUAGAACAUGUUCAGAAGUGUUUCUGAGCAUUCGGUUCCGGCACGAAAAAUGAUGCAAAACGGGUGCAUUUCAGCACCCGAAUGCACUAUUUCGGGGUAGCGAAACUCAGGUGGAUUUUUUCGCAACGAACGCAUGCAAUCUACCUAAUUAUACCCUAGAACAUGUUUGGGAGUGUUUUUGGGCAUUCGGUUCCGGCACGAAAAACGAUGCAAAACGGGAGCAUUUCGGCACCCAAACACACUAUUUCCGGGUAGCGAAACUCGGGUGGAUUUUUUCGCAACGAACGCAUGCAAUCUUCCUAAUUAUACCCUGGAACAUGUUUGGGAGUGUUUUUGAGCAUUCGGUUCCGGAACGAAAAAUGAUGCAAAACGGGUGCAUUUCGGCACCCGAAUGCACUUUCUCCGUGUAGCGAAAAUCGGGUGGAUUUUUUCGCAACGAACGCAUGCAAUCUUCCUAAUUAUACCCUGGAACAUGUUUGGGAGUGUUUUUGAGCAUUCGGUUCCGGAAUGAAAAAUGAUGGAAAACGGGUGCAUUUCGGCACCCGAAUGCACUUUUUUCGUGUAGCGAAAAUCGGGUGGAUUUUUUUGCAACGAACGCAUGCAAUCUUCCUAAUUAUACCCUAGAGCAUGUUUGGGAGUGUUUUUGAGCAUUCGGUUCCGGAACGAAAAAUGAUGCAAAACGGGUGCAUUUCGGCACCCGAAUGCAUAUUGCCGGGUAGCGAAACUCGGGUGGAUUUUUUCGCAACGAACGCAUGCAAUCUUCCUAAUUAUACCCUAGAACAUGUUCAGAAGUGUUUCUGAGCAUUCGGUUCCGGCACGAAAAAUGAUGCAAAACGGGUGCAUUUCAGCACCCGAAUGCACUAUUUCUGGGUAGCGAAACUCGUGUGGAUUUUUUCGCAACGAACGCAUGCAAUCUUCCUAAUUAUACCCUAGAACAUGUUUGGAAAUGUUUUUGAGCAUUCGGUUCCGGCACGAAAAACGAUGCAAAACGGGUGCAAUACGGCACCCGAAUGCUAUAUUUCCGGGUAGCGAAAGUCGGGUGGAUUUUUUCGCAACGAACGCAUGCAAUCUUCCUAAUUAUACCCUAGAACAUGUUUGGGAGUGUUUUUAGGCAUUCGGUCUCGGCACGAAAAAUGAUGCAAAACGGGUGCAUUUCGACAUCCGAAUGCACUAUUUCCGGGUAGCGAAACUCGGGUGGAUUUUUUCGCAAUGAACGCACCCAAUCUACCUCAUUAGACCCUAGAACUUGUUUGGGAUUGUUUUCGAGCAUUCAGUUCCGUCACGAAAAAUGAUGCAAAACGAGUGGAUUUCGGCACCCGAAUGCACUAUUUGCGGGUAGCGAAACUCGGGUGGAUUUUUUCGCAACGAACGCAUGCAAUCUUCCUAAUUAUACCCUAGAACAUGUUUGGGAGUGUUUUUGAGCAUUCGGUUCCGGAACGAAAAAUGAUGCAAAACGGGUGCAUUUCGGCACCCGAAUGCAUAUUGCUGGGUAGCGAAACUCGGGUGGAUUUUUUCGCAACGAACGCAUGCAAUCUUCCUAAUUAUACCCUAGAACAUGUUUGGGAGUGUUUUUGAGCAUUCGGUUCCGGAACGAAAAAUGAUGCAAGACGGGUGCAUUUCGGCACCCGAAUGCAUUAUUUCCGGGUAGCGAAACUCGGGUGGAUUUUUUCGCAACGAACGCAUGCAAUCUUCCUAAUUAUACCCUAGAACAUGUUUGGAAAUGUUUUUGAGCAUUCGGUUCCGGCACAAAAAACGAUGCAAAACCGGUGCAAUACGGCACCCGAAUGCUAUAUUUCCGGGUAACGAAAGUCGGGUAGAUUUUUUCGCAACGAACGCAUGCAAUCUUCCUAAUUAUACCCUAGAACAUGUUCAGAAGUGUUUCCGAGCAUUCGGUUCCGUCACGAAAAAUGAUGCAAAAACAGUGGAUUUUGGCACCCAAAUCCACUAUUUCCAGGUAGCGAAACUCGUGUUCAUUUUCUCGCAACGAACGCAUCCAAUCUACCUCAUUAGACCGUAGAACAUGUUUGGAAGUGUCUUCGAGCAUUCGGUUUCGGCACGAAAAAUGAUGCAAAACGAGUGGAUUUCGGCACCCGAAUGCACUAUUUCCGGGUAGCGAAACUCGGGUGGAUUUUUUCGCAACGAACGCAUGCAAUCUUCGUAAUUAUACCCUAGAACAUGUUUGGGAGUGUUUUUGAGCAUUCGGUUCCGGCACGAAAAAUGAUGCAAAACGGGUGCAUUUCGGCACCCGAAUGCUAUAUUUCCGGGUAGCGAAACUCGGGUGGAUUUUUCCACAAUGAAUGCAUCCAAUCUUCCUAAUUAUACACUAAAACAUUUUUGGGAGUGUUUUUGGGCAUUCAGUUCCGGCACGAAAAAUGAUGCAAAACGGGUGCAUUUCGGCACCCGAAUGCACUAUUUCCGGGUAGCGAAACUCGGGUGGAUUUUUCCGCAACGAACGCAUCGAAUCUUCCUAAUUAUACACUAAAACAUGUUUGGGAGUGUUUUUGGGCAUUCGGUUCCGGCACGAAAAAUGAUGCGAAACGGGUGCAUUUCGACACCCGAAUGCACUAUUUUCGGGUAGCGAAACUUGGGUGGAUUUUUUCGCAACGAACGCAUGCAAUCUUCGUAAUUAGACCCUAGAACAUGUUUGGGAGUGUUUUUGAGCAUUCGGUUCCGGAACGAAAAAUGAUGCAAAACGGGUGCAUUUCGGCACCCGAAUGCACUUUUUCCGUGUAGCGAAAAUCGGGUGGAUUUUUUCGCAACGAACGCAUGCAAUCUUCCUAAUUAUACCCUAGAACAUGUUUGGGAGUGUUUUUGAGCAUUCAGUUCCGGAACGAAAAAUGAUGCAAAACGGGUGCAUUUCGGCACCCGAAUGCAUAUUGCCGGGUAGCGAAACUCGGGUGGAUUUUUUCGCAACGAACGCAUGCAAUCUUCGUAAUUAUACCCUAGAACAUGUUUGGGAGUGUUUUUGAGCAUUCGGUUCCGGAACGAAAAAUGAUGCAAAACGGGUGCAUUUCGGCACCCGAAUGCUAUAUUUCCGGGUAGCGAAACUCGGGUGGAUUUUUCCACAACGAAUGCAUCCAAUCUUCCUAAUUAUACACUAAAACAUUUUUGGGAGUGUUUUUGGGCAUUCAGUUCCGGCACGAAAAAUGAUGCAAAACGGGUGCAUUUCGGCACCCGAAUGCACUAUUUCCGGGUAGCGAAACUCGGGUGGAUUUUUUCGCAACGAACGCAUGCAAUCUUCGUAAUUAUACCCUAGAAAAUGUUUGGGAGUGUUUUUGAGCAUUCGGUUCCGGAACGAAAAAUGAUGCAAAACGGGUGCAUUUCGGCACCCGAAUGCACUAUUUCUGGGUAGCGAAACUCGUGUGGAUUUUUUCGCAACGAACGCAUGCAAUCUUCCUAAUUAUACCCUAGAACAUGUUUGGAAAUGUUUUUGAGCAUUCGGUUCCGGCACGAAAAACGAUGCAAAACGGGUGCAAUACGGCACCCGAAUGCUAUAUUUCCGGGUAGCGAAAGUCGGGUGGAUUUUUUCGCAACGAACGCAUGCAAUCUUCCUAAUUAUACCCUAGAACAUGUUUGGGAGUGUUUUUGGGCAUUCGGUCUCGGCACGAAAAAUGAUGCAAAACGGGUGCAUUUCGACAUCCGAAUGCACUAUUUCCGGGUAGCGAAACUCGGGUGGAUUUUUUCGCAACGAACGCACCCAAUCUACCUCAUUAGACCCUAGAACUUGUUUGGGAUUGUUUUCGAGCAUUCAGUUCCGUCACGAAAAAUGAUGCAAAACGAGUGGAUUUCGGCACCCGAAUGCACUAUUUGCGGGUAGCGAAACUCGGGUGGAUUUUUUCGCAACGAACGCAUGCAAUCUUCCUAAUUAUACCCUAGAACAUGUUUGGGAGUGUUUUUGAGCAUUCGGUUCCGGAACGAAAAAUGAUGCAAAACGGGUGCAUUUCGGCACCCGAAUGCAUAUUGCUGGGUAGCGAAAGUCGGGUGGAUUUUUUCGCAACGAACGCAUGCAAUCUUCCUAAUUAUACCCUAGAACAUGUUUGGGAGUGUUUUUGAGCAUUCGGUUCCGGAACGAAAAAUGAUGCAAAACGGGUGCAUUUCGGCACCCGAAUGCAUUAUUUCCGGGUAACGAAACUCGGGUGGAUUUUUUCGCAACGAACGCAUGCAAUCUUCCUAAUUAUACCCUAGAACAUGUUUGGAAAUGUUUUUGAGCAUUCGGUUCCGGCACAAAAAACGAUGCAAAACCGGUGCAAUACGGCACCCGAAUGCUAUAGUUCCGGGUAACGAAAGUCGGGUAGAUUUUUUCGCAACGAACGCAUGGAAUCUUCCUAAUUAUACCCUAGAACAUGUUCAGAAGUGGUUCCGAGCAUUCGGUUCCGUCACGAAAAAUGAUGCAAAAACAGUGGAUUUUGGCACCCAAAUCCACUAUUUCCAGGUAGCGAAACUCGUGUUCAUUUUCUCGCAACGAACGCAUCCAAUCUACCUCAUUAGACCGUAGAACAUGUUUGGAAGUGUCUUCGAGCAUUCGGUUUCGGCACGAAAAAUGAUGCAAAACGAGUGGAUUUCGGCACCCGAAUGCACUAUUUCCGGGUAGCGAAACUCGGGUGGAUUUUUUCGCAACGAACGCAUGCAAUCUUCGUAAUUAUACCCUAGAACAUGUUUGGGAGUGUUUUUGAGCAUUCGGUUCCGGCACGAAAAAUGAUGCAAAACGGGUGCAUUUCGGCACCCGAAUGCUAUAUUUCCGGGUAGCGAAACUCGGGUGGAUUUUUCCACAACGAAUGCAUCCAAUCUUCCUAAUUAUACACUAAAACAUUUUUGGGAGUGUUUUUGGGCAUUCAGUUCCGGCACGAAAAAUGAUGCAAAACGGGUGCAUUUCGGCACCCGAAUGCACUAUUUCCGGGUAGCGAAACUCGGGUGGAUUUUUUCGCAACGAACGCAUGCAAUCUUCGUAAUUAUACCCUAGAAAAUGUUUGGGAGUGUUUUUGAGCAUUCGGUUCCGGAACGAAAAAUGAUGCAAAACGGGUGCAUUUCGGCACCCGAAUGCACUAUUUCUGGGUAGCGAAACUCGUGUGGAUUUUUUCGCAACGAACGCAUGCAAUCUUCCUAAUUAUACCCUAGAACAUGUUUGGAAAUGUUUUUGAGCAUUCGGUUCCGGCACGAAAAACGAUGCAAAACGGGUGCAAUACGGCACCCGAAUGCUAUAUUUCCGGGUAGCGAAAGUCGGGUGGAUUUUUUCGCAACGAACGCAUGCAAUCUUCCUAAUUAUACCCUAGAACAUGUUUGGGAGUGUUUUUGGGCAUUCGGUCUCGGCACGAAAAAUGAUGCAAAACGGGUGCAUUUCGACAUCCGAAUGCACUAUUUCCGGGUAGCGAAACUCGGGUGGAUUUUUUCGCAACGAACGCACCCAAUCUACCUCAUUAGACCCUAGAACUUGUUUGGGAUUGUUUUCGAGCAUUCAGUUCCGUCACGAAAAAUGAUGCAAAACGAGUGGAUUUCGGCACCCGAAUGCACUAUUUGCGGGUAGCGAAACUCGGGUGGAUUUUUUCGCAACGAACGCAUGCAAUCUUCGUAAUUAUACCCUAGAAAAUGUUUGGGAGUGUUUUUGAGCAUUCGGUUCCGGAACGAAAAAUGAUGCAAAACGGGUGCAUUUCGGCACCCGAAUGCAUUAUUUCCGGGUAACGAAACUCGGGUGGAUUUUUUCGCAACGAACGCAUGCAAUCUUCCUAAUUAUACCCUAGAACAUGUUUGGAAAUGUUUUUUAGGAUUCGGUUCCGGCACAAAAAACGAUGCAAAACCGGUGCAAUACGGCACCCGAAUGCUAUAGUUCCGGGUAACAAAAGUCGGGUAGAUUUUUUCGCAACGAACGCAUGGAAUCUUCCUAAUUAUACCCUAGAACAUGUUCAGAAGUGUUUCCGAGCAUUCGGUUCCGUCACGAAAAAUGAUGCAAAAACAGUGGAUUUUGGCACCCAAAUCCACUAUUUCCAGGUAGCGAAACUCGUGUUCAUUUUCUCGCAACGAACGCAUCCAAUCUACCUCAUUAGACCGUAGAACAUGUUUGGAAGUGUCUUCGAGCAUUCGGUUUCGGCACGAAAAAUGAUGCAAAACGAGUGGAUUUCGGCACCCGAAUGCACUAUUUCCGGGUAGCGAAACUCGGGUGGAUUUUUUCGCAACGAACGCAUGCAAUCUUCGUAAUUAUACCCUAGAACAUGUUUGGGAGUGUUUUUGAGCAUUCGGUUCCGGCACGAAAAAUGAUGCAAAACGGGUGCAUUUCGGCACCCGAAUGCUAUAUUUCCGGGUAGCGAAACUCGGGUGGAUUUUUCCACAACGAAUGCAUCCAAUCUUCCUAAUUAUACACUAAAACAUUUUGGGAGUGUUUUUGGGCAUUCAGUUCUGGCACGAAAAAUGAUGCAAAACGGGUGCAUUUCGGCACCCGAAUGCACUAUUUCCGGGUAGCGAAACUCGGGUGGAUUUUUCCGCAACGAACGCAUCCAAUCUUCCUAAUUAUACACUAAAACAUGUUUGGGAGUGUUUUUGGGCAUUCGGUUCCGGCACGAAAAAUGAUGCAAAACGGGUGCAUUUCGACACCCGAAUGCACUAUUUUCGGGUAGCGAAACUCGGGUGGAUUUUUUCGCAACGAACGCAUGCAAUCUUCGUAAUUAGACCCUAGAACAUGUUUGGGAGUGUUUUUGAGCAUUCGGUUCCGGAACGAAAAAUGAUGCAAAACGGGUGCAUUUCGGCACCCGAAUGCACUUUUUCCGUGUAGCGAAAAUCGGGUGGAUUUUUUCGCAACGAACGCAUGCAAUCUUCCUAAUUAUACCCUAGAACAUGUUUGGGAGUGUUUUUGGGCAUUCGGUCUCGGCACGAAAAAUGAUGCAAAACGGGUGCAUUUCGACAUCCGAAUGCACUAUUUCCGGGUAGCGAAACUCGGGUGGAUUUUUUUGCAACGAACGCAUGCAAUCUUCCUAAUUAUACCCUAGAACAUGUUUGGAAAUGUUUUUGAGCAUUCGGUUCCGGCACGAAAAACGAUGCAAAACGGGUGCAAUUCGGCACCCGAAUGCUAUAUUUCCGGGUAGCGAAAGUCGGGUGGAUUUUUUCGCAACGAACGCAUGCAAUCUUCCUAAUUAUACCCUAGAACAUGUUUGGGAGUGUUUUUGGGCAUUCGGUUCCGGAACGAAAAAUGAUGCAAAACGGGUGCAUUUCGGCACCCGAAUGCACUAUUUCUGGGUAGCGAAACUCGUGUGGAUUUUUUCGCAACGAACGCAUGCAAUCUUCCUAAUUAUACCCUAGAACAUGUUUGGAAAUGUUUUUGAGCAUUCGGUUCCGGCACGAAAAACGAUGCAAAACGGGUGGAAUACGGCACCCGAAUGCUAUAUUUCCGGGUAGCGAAAGUCGGGUGGAUUUUUUCGCAACGAACGCAUGCAAUCUUCCUAAUUAUACCCUAGAACAUGUUUGGGAGUGUUUUUGGGCAUUCGGUCUCGGCACGAAAAAUGAUGCAAAACGGGUGCAUUUCGACAUCCGAAUGCACUAUUUCCGGGUAGCGAAACUCGGGUGGAUUUUUUCGCAACGAACGCACCCAAUCUACCUCAUUAGACCCUAGAACUUGUUUGGGAUUGUUUUCGAGCAUUCAGUUCCGUCACGAAAAAUGAUGCAAAACGAGUGGAUUUCGGCACCCGAAUGCACUAUUUGCGGGUAGCGAAACUCGGGUGGAUUUUUUCGCAACGAACGCAUGCAAUCUUCCUAAUUAUACCCUAGAACAUGUUUGGGAGUGUUUUUGAGCAUUCGGUUCCGGAACGAAAAAUGAUGCAAAACGGGUGCAUUUCGGCACCCGAAUGCAUAUUGCUGGGUAGCGAAAGUCGGGUGGAUUUUUUCGCAACGAACGCAUGCAAUCUUCCUAAUUAUACCCUAGAACAUGUUUGGGAGUGUUUUUGAGCAUUCGGUUCCGGAACGAAAAAUGGUGCAAAACGGGUGCAUUUCGGCACCCGAAUGCAUAUUGCUGGGUAGCGAAAGUCGGGUAGAUUUUUUCGCAACGAACGCAUGGAAUCUUCCUAAUUAUACCCUAGAACAUGUUCAGAAGUGUUUCCGAGCAUUCGGUUCCGUCACGAAAAAUGAUGCAAAAACAGUGGAUUUUGGCACCCAAAUCCACUAUUUCCAGGUAGCGAAACUCGUGUUCAUUUUCUCGCAACGAACGCAUCCAAUCUACCUCAUUAGACCGUAGAACAUGUUUGGAAGUGUCUUCGAGCAUUCGGUUUCGGCACGAAAAAUGAUGCAAAACGAGUGGAUUUCGGCACCCGAAUGCACUAUUUCCGGGUAGCGAAACUCGGGUGGAUUUUUUCGCAACGAACGCAUGCAAUCUUCGUAAUUAUACCCUAGAACAUGUUUGGGAGUGUUUUUGAGCAUUCGGUUCCGGCACGAAAAAUGAUGCAAAACGGGUGCAUUUCGGCACCCGAAUGCUAUAUUUCCGGGUAGCGAAACUCGGGUGGAUUUUUCCACAACGAAUGCAUCCAAUCUUCCUAAUUAUACACUAAAACAUUUUUGGGAGUGUUUUUGGGCAUUCAGUUCCGGCACGAAAAAUGAUGCAAAACGGGUGCAUUUCGGCACCCGAAUGCACUAUUUCCGGGUAGCGAAACUCGGGUGGAUUUUUCCGCAACGAACGCAUCGAAUCUUCCUAAUUAUACACUAAAACAUGUUUGGGAGUGUUUUUGGGCAUUCGGUUCCGGCACGAAAAAUGAUGCAAAACGGGUGCAUUUCGACACCCGAAUGCACUAUUUUCGGGUAGCGAAACUCGGGUGGAUUUUUUCGCAACGAACGCAUGCAAUCUUCGUAAUUAGACCCUAGAACAUGUUUGGGAGUGUUUUUGAGCAUUCGGUUCCGGAACGAAAAAUGAUGCAAAACGGGUGCAUUUCGGCACCCGAAUGCACUUUUUCCGUGUAGCGAAAAUCGGGUGGAUUUUUUCGCAACGAACGCAUGCAAUCUUCCUAAUUAUACCCUAGAACAUGUUUGGGAGUGUUUUUGAGCAUUCGGUUCCGGAACGAAAAAUGAUGCAAAACGGGUGCAUUUCGGCACCCGAAUGCAUAUUGCCGGGUAGCGAAACUCGGGUGGAUUUUUUCGCAACGAACGCAUGCAAUCUUCGUAAUUAUACCCUAGAACAUGUUUGGGAGUGUUUUUGAGCAUUCGGUUCCGGAACGAAAAAUGAUGCAAAACGGGUGCAUUUCGGCACCCGAAUGCAUUAUUUCCGGGUAGCGAAACUCGGGUGGAUUUUUUCGCAACGAACGCAUGCAAUCUUCCU
rnacentral:lncRNA from 1 species